rnacentral:rRNA from 1 species
GACGAACGCUGGCGGCGUGCUUAACACAUGCAAGUCGAGCGGGAUCCAACCGGUGGCAACACCGGGGAAGAUCUAGCGGCGAACGGGUGAGUAACACGUGAGCAACCUGCCCCGAAGACUGGGAUAACACCGGGAAACCGGUGCUAAUACCGGAUGUCGUCAUUAGGCCGCAUGACCUGAUGAUGAAAGGAUUCAUCGCUUCGGGAGGGGCUCGCGGCUAUCAGCUUGGGUGGGUAACGCCUACCAAGGCGACGACGGCUAGCUGGUCUGAGAGGACGACCAGCCACACU